AAAGUCCGCUUCUCGAAAGUUAACGUGUGAACUGUCGUUGAGAGGGAAGCUAUUAAUGGCCAGAAAUCAUUUUGUUUCUCAGGUUUCCUUUGUUUUACUUUACCGACUCAGACUUGGCGAAAGUGGACACCACAGACAUAAUAAGGGAAUAACACAGAAGAGAAGUAUAUCCGGUCAGCUCCCUGCAGAAGUUAACUGUGAAAAGAGCUAAAGAGGCGUGCCUGGCAAGUACAAGCAGGAGAGGACAGACGCAGAGACUGCCGGCAAAAAUCGCCUUUCUAGGGGUUCCUGGGAUCGUUGCCUCAAUCAAAGAUGGCUUAGAGGCCACGAAAACCUCAAAGGACCAGCUGGACCCUCACAAGCUCAAUGUGCUCAUAGAUGCUGUGUGAUAAAGCAGUUUCCAAAUCCCAUAGUGUCUGCAGUCACAGAAAAAGCAACGAGUCCUACUCAAAGAUAACCGACCCUCCGCUCCAAGGAUAAGGAUUGACAUUUUUCAGUUUUAUUUUGGUUCCACCAUUUGUACUGUAUGCUUGUGACGGAGCUGUCAAAGUUGUAUGUUUGGUACCCUGUAGACCUGUGUUUGAAUCUGGGUAGGGUGACUGCUCUCGCCUUUGGCCGCAUAUGGUGUCAGAAGUGGGAUGGCUUGCCGUGAGGUCAUCUGAGCCGGGCCCAGAGUCGAACCGUAUUAGGGACCCCCAUGGGUA